GGGGGAGUUUAGGGAGGAGUUUAGGGAGGGUAUCGGACAGUCAGAGGAGAGCCUAAAGUAGCACAAAGGCGGUAGCCACACUCAUCAUGGCGGCCAAAGGGCGACCGAGCGGAGGGGGGCGGAGCCACUCCUGGCGGUUGGGGCACGUUGCCGUCUCCGUCGUCGCAUUUAUUGGUUUGUUUGAGAAGGAAUCAGAAAGGCAAUGGGUGGAAGUGGACGUCGGUCAAAGUUAGUCCCGCCUCCAGACUCUCAACGCGCUUCUCGGCGCCGGGACUCCUUCAAGAUCGCCAGUGCCUGCCUUGCUCGGUUUGCCCUUUUCUCCGGGGUGACGUCACGGCGUAACCGUCACACCCUCGAGACGUGCGAACGGCUCCGCAGGGUGUGGAGAAGGUGGAGGGUGCAGUUGGGUGAGGUAGCCUUGGGGUGUGGACUCCUGCCUGCUGGGCUGAAAGGCCUUGAGCUACGGGACGCAAUGGAACUGGGAAGCUUACCGUUUGACGACGCUUGUUCCAAGGCGGAAGUGCUCGCUGCAGCCUCUGUCGCCGCCCUCUCUGUAACCUUGUUGGGCUGGGCGGGGAGUUCCUGCCCAUUCUCAACCUUGGGUCCGGAGCUCAAAUGACCACCCAUCUUGGGGGCCUCGAAGAGUUGGGCUUUUUUCCCCCUGCCGCGGCUUGGGCCAUUAGGCAAGUGAGAUUCGGCCCAUGCGGUUUGGCGUCGUUUCAAGGGCCUUGACUUUUGUGUCACCUCCCCGAAUUUGAGUUUUCUCUGGCUGACCACGUAGGUCCCCUGGGGAAGUUCCUGAGGGGAAAACUGAUCGCGCUCGGCCAAAUGAAAAAAAGAGGUGCAGCAUGUUUGGGGCUGGGUGCGAAACCGUUCCCUCUUGGACGUAUUUCAGACCCAAUAGUAGUCGUUAAGGAGGAGACCUUCACGCCCUGCCAGGCCCUGGAGCUGAGCUCUGCGGGAGGAGGGCCGCCGACCCCAAGAGUAGUCAACUAGGGGUUGCGGAAACGGAGCUGUUAGGCUUACACCUGGUUGGUGGGACUGGAGGACGUUUCACGAAGGAGGUAGCAUUCGCACCGGACCUGGUAAAGGUAACGUGAUUCCAACAGGUGGGAGUUGAGAACCUAGACUAUUCUGGUUACAGCCGAGGGGCCAUUUCCCAAGUUUGAAGGAACCCAGGCCUUGCUGUAGAAACUGGUUUCUGCCAUUACUACUGACGCCUUUACUGCCGUGUGUUGCCUUUCUUUUUGCAGGGAGAAGAGGGAUGACGAUUAAAUACAUCAGAUAAGAGCUAAACCUGAUGGUAAAGAUUAGAGAGAUCAAGGGCCUCCUUGGACUCCUCCCCUGGACCCUCUGCAUCCAGCCGGCUGGUUAGCUAAGAGAGAGAAAACCACGAAAGGUAGUGAACGCUGGAAAUGGUGUCAGUUAUUUGUUCCCACGUCGUGUUGGUCUGACCCAGUUGUCUGGCCCCAACCUGAGUCAAGCAAACUGGGACAUGGCUUCCUAUGUGCUCAGGAGGAAGAAAUGGGAAUGAUGAGCAUCUGGCCAAUCUCUGCUGCGACUGCUCAUUUUGGUGGCCUCCAGGCCAGAGCUACUGACUUGCUGAGGAAGAGAUGUAGGAGGAUUAUACUCUUGUACACAUUGGAUUUUAUAAAUCCAAAUAUUACCUCUUCAAAUAAAUUAAAAAAGAGGAGACUCGUGGAAUUAUGGGUCAUCCAUACCAUGAAAGAGUGAAGUACAUCUGUACAUACUGGAAUGGAACGAUCUUCAGUGAAGAUGGGCAACAUUUAAAAGCCAGAGAAUACCAAGUGCUGGCCGAAAUAAAGAGCCGCCGAAACUCUCAGACCUUGCUAGGUGGAAUGUCACCGGACGCAACCUCUUUGGAAAGCAGGCAUGUGGACAGAAGAAGCAGACGAGGGAAAGGAAGCAGGGCAGGCAGGCUCCAGGGUUCUCAUUUCCCCGUCUAUCUCCCCAAUCCGUCUAGAUCUUGACCGGGGGAAGCUACAGAAGACAGAUACAGAGAAUACAAAGAACCCAAAAGCAUCAGAGGCUUGUGGACCACUUCCCCAGUAUGGCAUGAGGGAGGCUGCAGGCUGCUAGAAGAAACCUUGCAUUUGGCUCUGCAUCGUGUCCGAAAUACUAAUCGGAAUGGCAAGACGAACGUCGAGCCCGACAACUUCACAAGCACAUUUAGCGCCUUUGCUUGGAUCCUGUCUGCUGACAUCCCAACGGCCGACAUAAGUCACAUACCCGAGCUCAGCGUCAGUGGGGCAGAAAGUAGACUCUCAUGAAGAGAGGAGAGAAAGAAAGGAAUAAAUGUCUUCUGAAUUAUAAUCUAAUCUGUGAUCUUCGGCACAGUGGCCAUAGUAACUCCAGUGAAAAUUCUGGAGUUCUAUUCCUAAGGAAAGGAAGGGAAGCUAGAUUCGGAGGACAAUUUCUGUCACAAUGUGUAUCAGUCAGGAGGCAGUUUCUUCUAGUUUAAUGGAAACGUGAAUGUGUUCCUCGGUGGAAGCAUCCUUCUCUUUGGCACUAGGACCUCCAAACCCACUGAGCCCAAGUUUGCGGAGAUGAGAAGCACAAAAAUUCCUUUAUACAAAGUUCAUUUGAUGUAACAGUGAGGAGGGUCACCCCACUCCAUUCAAUUGACUGAACCACCCAGGUGCCCCUCUCUAAAAAAAAAAAGAAAACAUAAAGAAAAGAGUAAACUUGAACUCAAGGUGAACAGAAGAAAAGAAAUGACAACCAGAAUGAAAUUCAGUGAAAUACUAAACAAAAAACGAGAGAGAAAAAGCCAUGAAACCAAAAACUGAUUCUUUGAGAAAAAAAUCUAUACAGUUGUUAAACUAGUAGACUAAUCAGGAAAAAGUAGAGAAAACACAAAUUACCAAUAUCAGGAAUGAGAGAGAUGACAUCACAGUUUUUACAGAUAUUGAAAGGGUAAUUUAGGAAUAUUAUGAACAACUUAAGGCCAAUAUAUUUAACAAAUGAAAUGGAUGCAUUUCUUGAAAGACACAAACUAUCAAAACUCCUUUCUGAAGGAAUAGAUAAUGCACAUAGAGUUAUAUCCACAUUUUUGAAUUUUUAGUUAAAAUACGCACCCGCCGCCCCCAAAGACAGUGUUGGCAAUGGCCAGAUCAGCUUGGUGAGAGCAAGUCUGUGUUGUUGAGUCCAUCAAUGUCUCCUUUCGUCACCGUGGGCCACUUUGCAAAUGGAUCUAUUAACCAAGCACUAGAGAGUAUCUGAGGAAGAGGCCAUCUGAUGUUCGCAGAUUGUGUCAUCUUGUCCUGAUUACUGAGAGUCUCAUCUACAACAGAUGCCCUUGGGUGAGCAUUUAUAUGGAACAUGAAUAUACUUUGUGGAUCGCAAGAAGUCCAUCUUUCUUUCGACCUCCUUGUCCCCAGCCUUCUAAUCUUGUUCUUUCCAAAUUCCUGACCAGUGGGCCAGGCUAACCCCCAAGUCAGGUUAGAUCUGUGCAUUAACUAGAUCUGCAGUAGAGUUCUGCUCACCGGAGAAUGUCCCUCCUCUACAGGCUUUUGGAGCCACUCCAGAGCCGGCUGUGCUGCAACGCUUCUGGCUGCUUCUGUAAGAAGCCUGCACUUUCCUUUCCUCCACUAACUGACCUUUUUUGUUUUGAGAGAGAGAGAGAGAGAAAGCGAGAGCACGCAAGCUGGGGAAAGGGGGAGAGAGAGAGAGAGAGAGAGAGAGAGAGAGAGAGAGAGAGAGAGAGAGAGAAUGAAUCUUAAGCAGGCUCCAUGCUCAGCUUGGAGCUCGACAUGGGGCUCAAUCCCAUGACUCUGGGAUCAUGACCUGAGCUGAAAUCAAGAGUCAGACGCUCAACCGACUGAGCCACCCAGGCAGCCCUCCUCAUGGCCUUAUCCUUUUCCACCUGCACUUUAUCCCAGGCCACUGCCAUGAUAAUGUGCUUAUUUGUGAGGACACUGCCUGUUAUGGACUGCCAGGGUCCCAUUUCGCCACAACAAGGAGGUUAUCCAUGCCUUCCUCAUAUACAUGAGCAUCUCAGUUCUGGAAUCCUAUUUUUUUUUUUCAACAAUUCUAUACAUUACACACUGCUCACCACAGUAAGUAGGGUUACCAUCUGUCACCAUACAGUAUUAUUACGGUAUUAUUGACUGUACUCCCCAUGCUGUACUUUUCGUCUCCAUGACUUAUUUGUUUUAUAACUGGAAUUUUGUGCCUCUUAAUACUUUUAAUACCUUUCAUCUAUUUCAUCCAUCCUCCCCACCCACCUCCCCUCUGGCAACCACCAGUUUGUUCUCUGCAUUUAUGAGCUUGUUUCUGUUUUUUGGUUUGUUUAUUAUUUGCUUGUUUGUAUGUUUUGCUUUUUAAAUUCCACAUGUAAGUGAAAUCUUACCAUAUUUGUCUUUGUCUGUCUGACUUAUCUUACUUAGCGUAGUACCCUCUAGGUCCAUCCAUGUUGUCACAAAUAGUAAGAUCUCAUUCUUUUUUUUAAGUCUGUGUAAUAGUUCAUUGUUAUAUACCACAUGUUCUUCUUUUUUUAAUGUUUAUUUAUUUUUUAUUUAUUUAAACAUUUAUUUAUUAUUGAGAGACAGAGAGAGACAGAUCGUGAGCAGGGGAGGGGCAGAGAGAGAGGGAGACACAGAAUCCCAAGCAGGCUCCCGGCUCUGAGCUCGGCACAGAGCCCGACGCGGGGCUCGAACUCACACAGUGUGAGAUUAUGACCUGAGCCAAAGUCUGGCGCUCAACCGACUGAGCCACCCAGGUGCCCCUAUACCAAAUGUUCUUUAUCCACGGAAUCAUUUUUCCCCCCAUGGAAUCUUAUUUCAAAACCACUUCUAAUACCAAUGAUUGUACUAGUCAGGUCCCAAAAGGAAGUAAGUGGCACACUCAAAAUGGAUAACUUGAGAGUUUGAUAAAGGAGGUUUUUGCGGAGUCAUGGUCAGGGAAUAGGGAAUCCAAAAAGAAUGUGCAGUAGUCCAGGAUUGGCAACCUUGGGGAGCAAAACAGCCCUAGGCCAUGAAGGAGCAAGGAGACAGGGGACUACUGGGACCAGAGAAGGUAAGUGAAGGAGAAAGCUACCUGAAAGUAGCUAUAGCCUUUGAUAGGAAGUUAGCCCUCAGCAAGCUCUCAAGAAGGGAGGCAAGCGAAUAAAUACCCCAACUUCCAUCUCUUCCUACUCUCUGAUCUCCUGCUGGUGCCUCCCAUUGGCCAACAGAAAACCAGUGGACAAAGGGAGCCUACUGAUGUCAUCUUUGAAGGUCAAUACUCUGAGGCACAGAUCCUGGUGGAGAACAAGGGGAGGAGAAGGGGAGGAGGAGACCUAUCUAGCACACAACCCAAACAAGUUAAACAGGGAAUUUACUGGUUCCUGCAAAGUCAAGCUGUAAGGCUUGAAGCAAGGGCUCAAAUGAAGUCAUCAGUGUCUGGUUUUUCCUCCAUCCACAGGUUUCAUAUACAGGCAGGCUCUCCCAUCAUGCUCCAAAAUGGCUCCAGAAUGCACAGCCUUUUUCAUUCAAACGUAGUGGAAUCUGUCAAAGGAUUCAUUGGGUCUCAUUGACUCUCAUUGGGUCACAUGAAAUGCCUGAACCAACCGCAGUGCUUAGGAUCAAAGAGAAGUGCUGCUUGGCUUAGAUCUCUGGAGCUAGGACUGGGUGAAAUCAUGGCAUGGAACCUGGAUGACUAGGGAAAAGUUGAUAUUGAAUAGCCAAAAUGCUACAUACCCUGUAUCAUCUUUUAAUGGUUGAGGCAGAACUUUUCCAUUUUUUUUCUAUCUGUGGAUCAUCUGGAGAUCCUGUUAAAAGUGCAGAAUCUGAUGAAGUAGGUCUGGGGUGGGGCAAAUUAAUUUCAUCUGUUUCUUUUUACUUUUUUAACAUGGUUACUAGAGCAUUAAAAAAUACAUGUGUUUCUGUUGGAUAGUGCUAUCCUAGAAGGAGGUAAUGAAGUGGAUGAAGGUGUUGAUCUUGAAACACAUUCAUUUUCACUUAUGAAUACUCAAUCAGAAGAACCAAAUAUAGCAGAGACCACAUGAGACUUACCUCAUGGGUCCUUGGACUUGGUCCACCCUCAGGACCUCAGGGUUAUGUGGUUGCAGGUUGAAUUCAUGCAUGAGUGCUUAGGAUAGAGGACACUGGAACGAGCCUGGUACGGUUUGACCCGAGGAAAGAGGAAAUGCUGGGGAUCCCAGAGUUGCUCCCCCCAACCAGCAGUCACUUCAUUUCCCAUUUUUGUUUACGCGGUUGUCUGAAUUACAGGAAUUACAACUGUGCUUAUCAACUUCCCCGAUCUGUCCUGCACACAUCCACUCAACUGAUCUCUGCACUCCCUUUUAGCCCUUUCCUGCCCAGACAUAUGCACCCAGCUGCAGUCUGCUUUCUAGGAACUCCCUACUGAACCCAGAAUGUCUUGUCCUACCAGUCCACGGGCCCCCAAAUGUGUCUCUCACUUUCCCCAUCUGUCUAAGUUAUUCCCUUACUGCUUGAAUCUCUGUCUCCACCAGCUCCACCUUUCAAAGCCCACGUCAAGGUUAUCUGCCUCCAGAGAGGCCUUUUCAAGACCUGGCCCACAGAAGCCUGCCUUCAGAACUUGUAGGACAUGCUGUCUUUGGCCAGCGUAUCUGCUAUGGAGGGCUGUGUCGUCUAACUCUUAAGUUAUUAGGGUUUUCCUGCAUUUGUGCCUUGAUUCUUUGGGCUGUAAGUUCCUUGAGGACAGAGCCCUGUUUAGUUUAUAUUUGAAUUCCCCUUUUGACCAGGGCCUGUAUAAUAAAUAGAUCCUCAAAAAUAUAAUUUGGCUCAUUUUCCCAAUACAAAACAAAACGCUAGUUGAAAAUAC